rnacentral:rRNA from 1 species
CAGCAGCCGCGGUAAUACGUAGGUCCCGAGCGUUGUCCGGAUUUAUUAGGCGUAAAGCGAGCGCGGGCGGUUAGAUAAGUCUGAAGUUAAAGGCUGUGGCUUAACCAUAGUACGCUUUGGAAACUGUUUAACUUGAGUGCAAGAGGGGAGAGUGGAAUUCCAUGUGUAGCGGUGAAAUGCGUAGAUAUAUGGAGGAACACCGGUGGCGAAAGCGGCUCUCUGGCUUGUAACUGACGCUGAGGCUCGAAAGCCAGGGGAGCGAACGGGAUUAGAUACCCCCGUAGUCCCUGUCUCUUAUACC